rnacentral:rRNA from 1 species
UUCCAGACUCCUACGGGAGGCAGCAGUGAGGAAUAUUGGUCAAUGGGCGAGAGCCUGAACCAGCCAAGUCGCGUGAAGGAUGAAGGAUCUAUGGUUUGUAAACUUCUUUUAUAUGGGAAUAAAGUGAGGAACGUGUACCUUUUUGUAUGUACCAUAUGAAUAAGCAUCGGCUAACUCCGUGCCAGCAGCCGCGGUAAUACGGAGGAUGCGAGCGUUAUCCGGAUUUAUUGGGUUUAAAGGGUGCGUAGGUGGUUAAUUAAGUCAGCGGUGAAAGUUUGUGGCUCAACCAUAAAAUUGCCGUUGAAACUGGUUGACUUGAGUAUAGUUGAGGUAGGCGGAAUGCGUGGUGUAGCGGUGAAAUGCAUAGAUAUCACGAAGAACUCCGAUUGCGAAGGCAGUUCACUGGACUGCAACUGACACUGAGGCUCGAAAGUGUGGGUAUCAAACAGGAUUAGAUACCCUUGUA